rnacentral:rRNA from 1 species
AUUGAACGCUGGCGGCAGGCUUAACACAUGCAAGUCGAACGAGUGGCGGACGGGUGAGUAAUGCAUGGGAAACUGGCUUAUGGAGGGGGAUAACUACGGGAAACUGUAGCUAAUACCGCGUAACAUCGGAUGAGCCCAAGGGGGAUUCAGUAGUUGGUGAGGUAAAGGCUCACCAAGCCGACGAUCCCUAGCUGGGCUGAGAGGAUGAUCAGCAACACGUGGACUGAGACACGGCCCAGACUCCUACGGGAGGCAGCAGCGGGGGAUAUUGCACAAUGUGCGAACGCCGGAUGCAGCCAUGCCGCGUGUAUGAAGAAGGCCUUAGGGUUGUAAAGUACUUUCAGCGGGGAGGCGUUACCCGCAGAAGAAGCACCGGCUAACUCCGUGCCAGCAGCCGCGGUAAUUC